GAAUAUUGGACAAUGGGCGAAAGCCUGAUCCAGCCAUGCCGCGUGUGUGAAGAAGGUCUUCGGAUUGUAAAGCACUUUCAGUGGUGAGGAAGGUGGUGUCGUUAAUAGCGGCACCAAUUGACGUUAGCCACAGAAGAAGCACCGGCUAACUCCGUGCCAGCCGCCGCGGUAAUACGGAUGGUGCGAGCGUUAAUCGGAAUUCCUGGGCGUAAAGCGUACGUAGGCGGCCUGUUAAGCAAGAUGUGAAAUCCCCGGGCUCAACCUGGGAAUGGCAUUUUGAACUGGCAGGCUCGAGUUCUGAAGAGGGUGGUAGAAUUUCCAGUGUAGCGGUGAAAUGCGUAGAUAUUGGAAGGAAUACCGGUGGCGAAGGCGGCCACCUGGUCAGAAACUGACGCUGAGGUACGAAAGCGUGGGGAGCAAACAGG
rnacentral:rRNA from 1 species